rnacentral:rRNA from 1 species
GACGAACGCUGGCGGCGUGCUUAACACAUGCAAGUCGAACGGAAAGGCCCUGCUUUUGUGGGGUGCUCGAGUGGCGAACGGGUGAGUAACACGUGAGUAACCUGCCCUUGACUUUGGGAUAACUUCAGGAAACUGGGGCUAAUACCGGAUAGGAGCUCCUGCUGCAUGGUGGGGGUUGGAAAGUUUCGGCGGUUGGGGAUGGACUCGCGGCUUAUCAGCUUGUUGGUGGGGUAGUGGCUUACCAAGGCUUUGACGGGUAGCCGGCCUGAGAGGGUGACCGGCCACAUUGGGACUGAGAUACGGCCCAGACGCCUACGGGAGGCAGCAGUGGGGAGUAGUGCACAAUGGGCGGAAGCCUGAUGCAGCACCGCCGCGUGCGGGAUGACGGCCUUCGGGUUGUAAACCGCUUUCGCCUGUGACGAAGCGUGAGUGACGGUAAUGUAUAAAAAAGCACCGGCUAACUACGUG